ensembl:snoRNA
AGCCUCAUUCUAGUUGGGAGUGGGCACUGUUGAUAAUAGUGUCCAAAAAUUGCUAAUGUGGCUAAAUUGACAUACAGGUUAUGCUUCCAUCACAGUAUAUGUAUUACAGUGGUGGCUAUGGGACCUGUGACAUUU